rnacentral:rRNA from 1 species
UUAAGCGACUAAGCGUACACGGUGGAUGCCCUGGCAGUCAGAGGCGAUGAAGGACGUGCUAAUCUGCGAUAAGCGUCGGUAAGGUGAUAUGAACCGUUAUAACCGGCGAUUUCCGAAUGGGGAAACCCAGUGUGAUUCGUCACACUAUCAUUAACUGAAUCCAUAGGUUAAUGAGGCGAACCGGGGGAACUGAAACAUCUAAGUACCCCGAGGAAAAGAAAUCAACCGAGAUUCCCCCAGUAGCGGCGAGCGAACGGGGAGCAGCCCAGAGCCUGAAUCAGUGUGUGUGUUAGUGGAAGCGUCUGGAAAGGCGCGCGAUACAGGGUGACAGCCCCGUACACAAAAAUGCACAUGCUGUGAGCUCGAUGAGUAGGGCGGGACACGUGGUAUCCUGUCUGAAUAUGGGGGGACCAUCCUCCAAGGCUAAAUACUCCUGACUGACCGAUAGUGAACCAGUACCGUGACGGGAAAGGCGAAAGAACCCCGGCGAGGGGAGUGAAAAAGACCUGAAACCGUGUACGUACAAGCAGUGGGAGCACAGAGCAAUCUGUGUGACUGCGUACCUUUUGUAUAAUGGGUCAGCGACUUAUAUUCUGUAGCAAGGUUAACCGAAUAGGGGAGCCGAAGGGAAACCGAGUCUUAACUGGGCGUUAAGUUGCAGGGUAUAGACCCGAAACCCGGUGAUCUAGCCAUGGGCAGGUUGAAGGUUGGGUAACACUAACUGGAGGACCGAACCGACUAAAUGUUGAAAAAUUAGCGGAUGACUUGUGGCUGGGGGUGAAAGGCCAAUCAAACCGGGAGAUAGCUGGUUCUCCCCGAAAGCUAUUUAGGUAGCGCCUCGUGAAUUCAUCUCCGGGGGUAGAGCACUGUUUCGGCAAGGGGGUCAUCCCGACUUACCAACCCGAUGCAAACUGCGAAUACCGGAGAAUGUUAUCACGGGAGACACACGGCGGGUGCUAACGUCCGUCGUGAAGAGGGAAACAACCCAGACCGCCAGCUAAGGUCCCAAAGUCAUGGUUAAGUGGGAAACGAUGUGGGAAGGCCCAGACAGCCAGGAUGUUGGCUUAGAAGCAGCCAUCAUUUAAAGAAAGCGUAAUAGCUCACUGGUCGAGUCGGCCUGCGCGGAAGAUGUAACGGGGCUAAACCAUGCACCGAAGCUGCGGCAGCGACGCUGAUGCGUUGUUGGGUAGGGGAGCGUUCUGUAAGCCUGCGAAGGUGUGCUGUGAGGCAUGCUGGAGGUAUCAGAAGUGCGAAUGCUGACAUAAGUAACGAUAAAGCGGGUGAAAAGCCCGCUCGCCGGAAGACCAAGGGUUCCUGUCCAACGUUAAUCGGGGCAGGGUGAGUCGACCCCUAAGGCGAGGCCGAAAGGCGUAGUCGAUGGGAAACAGGUUAAUAUUCCUGUACUUGGUGUUACUGCGAAGGGGGGACGGAGAAGGCUAUGUUGGCCGGGCGACGGUUGUCCCGGUUUAAGCGUGUAGGCUGGUUUUCCAGGCAAAUCCGGAAAAUCAAGGCUGAGGCGUGAUGACGAGGCACUACGGUGCUGAAGCAACAAAUGCCCUGCUUCCAGGAAAAGCCUCUAAGCAUCAGGUAACAUCAAAUCGUACCCCAAACCGACACAGGUGGUCAGGUAGAGAAUACCAAGGCGCUUGAGAGAACUCGGGUGAAGGAACUAGGCAAAAUGGUGCCGUAACUUCGGGAGAAGGCACGCUGAUAUGUAGGUGAAGUCCCUCGCGGAUGGAGCUGAAAUCAGUCGAAGAUACCAGCUGGCUGCAACUGUUUAUUAAAAACACAGCACUGUGCAAACACGAAAGUGGACGUAUACGGUGUGACGCCUGCCCGGUGCCGGAAGGUUAAUUGAUGGGGUCAGCGCAAGCGAAGCUCUUGAUCGAAGCCCCGGUAAACGGCGGCCGUAACUAUAACGGUCCUAAGGUAGCGAAAUUCCUUGUCGGGUAAGUUCCGACCUGCACGAAUGGCGUAAUGAUGGCCAGGCUGUCUCCACCCGAGACUCAGUGAAAUUGAACUCGCUGUGAAGAUGCAGUGUACCCGCGGCAAGACGGAAAGACCCCGUGAACCUUUACUAUAGCUUGACACUGAACAUUGAGCCUUGAUGUGUAGGAUAGGUGGGAGGCUUUGAAGUGUGGACGCCAGUCUGCAUGGAGCCGGCCUUGAAAUACCACCCUUUAAUGUUUGAUGUUCUAACGUUGACCCGUAAUCCGGGUUGCGGACAGUGUCUGGUGGGUAGUUUGACUGGGGCGGUCUCCUCCUAAAGAGUAACGGAGGAGCACGAAGGUUGGCUAAUCCUGGUCGGACAUCAGGAGGUUAGUGCAAUGGCAUAAGCCAGCUUGACUGCGAGCGUGACGGCGCGAGCAGGUGCGAAAGCAGGUCAUAGUGAUCCGGUGGUUCUGAAUGGAAGGGCCAUCGCUCAACGGAUAAAAGGUACUCCGGGGAUAACAGGCUGAUACCGCCCAAGAGUUCAUAUCGACGGCGGUGUUUGGCACCUCGAUGUCGGCUCAUCACAUCCUGGGGCUGAAGUAGGUCCCAAGGGUAUGGCUGUUCGCCAUUUAAAGUGGUACGCGAGCUGGGUUUAGAACGUCGUGAGACAGUUCGGUCCCUAUCUGCCGUGGGCGCUGGAGAACUGAGGGGGGCUGCUCCUAGUACGAGAGGACCGGAGUGGACGCAUCACUGGUGUUCGGGUUGUCAUGCCAAUGGCACUGCCCGGUAGCUAAAUGCGGAAGAGAUAAGUGCUGAAAGCAUCUAAGCACGAAACUUGCCCCGAGAUGAGUUCUCCCUGACUCCUUGAGAGUCCUGAAGGAACGUUGAAGACGACGACGUUGAUAGGCCGGGUGUGUAAGCGCAGCGAUGCGUUGAGCUAACCGGUACUAAUGAACCGUGAGGCUUAACCUU